rnacentral:rRNA from 1 species
AUACGGAGGGUCCGAGCGUUAUCCGGAAUCAUUGGGUUUAAAGGGUCCGUAGGCGGGAAUCUAGGUCAGUGGUGAAAUCUUGCAGCUCAACUGUAAAAUUGCCAUUGAUACUGGAUUUCUUGAAUUAGUGUGAAGUGGUUAGAAUGUGUAGUGUAGCGGUGAAAUGCAUAGAUAUUACACAGAAUACCAAUUGCGAAGGCAGAUCACUAACACUAUAUUGACGCUGAGGGACGAAAGCGUGGGGAGCGAACAGGAUUAGAAACCCUAGUAGUCC